rnacentral:rRNA from 1 species
AUUGAACGCUGGCGGCAGGCCUAACACAUGCAAGUCGAACGAGUGGCGGACGGGUGAGUAAUGUCUGGGAAACUGCCUGAUGGAGGGGGAUAACUACUGGCAACGGUAGCUAAUACCGCAUACCAUCAGAUGUGCCCAGAUGGGAUUAGCUUGUUGGGGGGGUAACGGCUCACCAAGGCGACGAUCCCUAGCUGGUCUGAGAGGAGGAACAGCCACACUGGAACUGAGACACGGUCCAGACUGCUACGGGAGGCAGCAGUGGGGAAUAUUGCACAACGGGCGCAAGCCUGAGGCAGCCAUGCCGCGUGUAUGAAGAAGGCCUUCGGGUGGUAAAGUACUGUCAGCGGGGAGGCGUUACCCGCAGAGGAAGCGCCGGCUAACUCCGGGCCAGCAGCCGCGGUAAUUC